GAUGAACGCUAGCGGCAGGCUUAAUACAUGCAAGUCGAGGGGUAGCAAGAUUGUAGCAAUACAAUUGUUGACGACCGGCAAACGGGUGCGGAACACGUACACAACCUUCCUACAAGUGGGGAAUAGCCCAGAGAAAUUUGGAUUAAUACCCCGUAACAUAGCGAUGUGGCAUCACAUUGCUAUUAUAGCUUCGGCGCUUGUUGAUGGGUGUGCGGCUGAUCAGAUAGUUGGCGGGGUAACGGCCCACCAAGUCUACGAUCAGUAGCUGAUGUGAGGGCAUGAUCAGCCACACGGGCACUGAGACACGGGCCCGACUCCUACGGGAGGCAGCAGUAAGGAAUAUUGGACAAUGGACGCAAGUCUGAUCCAGCCAUGCCGCGUGAAGGAUUAAGGUCCUCUGGAUUGUAAACUUCUUUUAUAAGGGACGAAAAAAGGUCUUUCUAGAUCGUCUGACGGUACCAUAUGAAUAAGCACCGGCUAACUCCGUGCCAGCCGCCGCCGUAACAC
rnacentral:rRNA from 1 species